ACGAACGCUGGCGGCGUGCCUCAUCCAUGCCAGUAGAACGCUGAAGGAGGAGCUUGCUUCUCUGGAUGAGUUGCGAACGGGUGAGUAACGCGUAGGUAACCUGCCUGGUAGCGGGGGAUAACUAUUGGAAACGAUAGCUAAUACCGCAUAAGAGUAGAUGUUGCAUGACAUUUGCUUAAAAGGUGCAAUUGCAUCACUACCAGAUGGACCUGCGUUGUAUUAGCUAGUUGGUGGGGUAACGGCUCACCAAGGCGACGAUACAUAGCCGACCUGAGAGGGUGAUCGGCCACACUGGGACUGAGACACGGCCCAGACUCCUGCGGGAGGCAGCAGUAGGGAAUCUUCGGCAAUGGACGGAAGUCUGACCGAGCAACGCCGCGUGAGUGAAGAAGGUUUUCGGAUCGUAAAGCUCUGUUGUAAGAGAAGAACGAGUGUGAGAGUGGAAAGUUCACACUGUGACGGUAUCUUACCAGAAAGGGACGGCUAACUACGUG
rnacentral:rRNA from 1 species